GUUAUUUUUAGCGACAAGACGGAGCUUUGUUGUUCUAAAUCUUGGUCAUAUCCUCAGACAUUAUCUAAUGUUAUUUGACUGUAAUCUCUCUCCUCUCUCUUUUGUUUCUUGGUUUCCACAGUGAAUGGGGAGGCCAAGCGGGUGGAUGUCAUAGCGUCACCGAGGAGCGUCACCGAGGAGAAAGAAGACUGCAGGGCGAAUCGUCCCUCUCCCCCCAUCACAGCGCCCCCGCAGGAGAACACAGCGGAAUCCUCACCACCACCCCAAACACAAGACUCUUCUAGAAGCAGUGUGGAGGUAGGAGGGGGGCUGUCACACCCGUCCCCCUCCAGUCCCACCCUGGAGGAGAGGAGGAGACCAGGUACCCUGCUCAUCUGGCAGGAGAGAGAGAGAAUCCAUCAGCAGAGAGACAACACGGCCAGAGACAAUGGUUUACUGAAGAUUACAACGGCCAAAACAGGAAGUAAUGUGGCGACGCUGUCACAGACAGGAAGUAGCUCGAGUGGUAGCUCACCAGAGAACAACCACUCCCAGAACGGGCUCAGACAACGAUGUGCGAGUGCAGAUCAGAUGUUCACUGUCUCAAACGGCACCGGUUCAGCGCUCUGUUAGCCGAUCAGGUACACGCCAAUACAGUUCACCUGCAAUCUCCAAUCUCCUAAAGUACGACAAGCCGAUGUAGUUAACACAACGUGUGUGUGUUUUAUUCAGACGUUCCGUCUCCCCUCCAGGCCUGAGUCAGAAACCACACAGUUUCCUCUUCCGCACCUCAUCCCGCUGCAGCGGCAAGAGUCAGUUCUCCCAUUCUCAGGCUCCACACAAGUAUGGUGGAGCAGGCCGCUCUGAGUUCUCGUCCUCCGUGUUGAGGCCAGAU
rnacentral:lncRNA from 1 species